rnacentral:rRNA from 1 species
GAUGAACGCUGGCGGCGUGCCUAACACAUGCAAGUCGAGCGAGAAGGUAUUAGAAGAUUCUUCGGAUGAAACUAAUGUCGGAAAGCGGCGGACGGGUGAGUAACGCGUGGGCAACCUGCCCUGUGCAAAGGGAUAGCCACUGGAAACGGUGAUUAAUACCAUAUAACACUUUUUUAUCGCAUGGUAGAAAAGUCAAAGAUUUAUCGGCACAGGAUGGGCCCGCGUCUGAUUAGCUAGUUGGUAAGGUAAAAGCUUACCAAGGCGACGAUCAGUAGCCGACCUGAGAGGGUGAUCGGCCACACUGGAACUGAGACACGGUCCAGACUCCUACGGGAGGCAGCAGUGGGGAAUAUUGCACAAUGGGCGCAAGCCUGAUGCAGCAACGCCGCGUGAGUGAUGAAGGCUUUCGGGUCGUAAAACUCUGUCCUCAGGGAAGAAUAAUGACGGUACCUGAGGAGGAAGCCCCGGCUAACUACGUGCCAGCCGCCGCCGUAACAC